GACGAACGCUGGCGGCGUGCUUAACACAUGCAAGUCGAACGGGUCUGCCCUGUUUUUUGCGGGGUGGGUCAGUGGCGAACGGGUGAGUAACACGUGAGUAACCUGCCCCUCACUUCUGGAUAACCGCUUGAAAGGGUGGCUAAUACGGGGUGUUCUGGCUGUGCCGCAUGGUGUGGCUGGGAAAGAUUCACUUUAGUGGUGUUUUGGUGGGGGAUGGGCUCGCGGCCUAUCAGCUUGUUGGUGGGGUGAUGGCCUGCCAAGGCUUUGACGGGUAGCCGGCUUGAGGGGGUGGGCGGUCACACUGGGACUGAGAUACGGCCCAGACUCCUGCGGGAGGCAGCAGUGGGGGGUAUUGCACAAUGGGCGGAAGCCUGAUGCAGCGACGUCGCGUGAGGGAUGGAGGCCUUCGGGUUGUGAACCUCUUUCGCCGGUGAAGAAGGUCCUGCUCUUUGGGGUGGGGUUGACGGUAGCCGGGUUAUGAAGCGCCGGCUAACUACGUG
rnacentral:rRNA from 1 species